GCAAUCUGCUCUAGCACUGGGGCUCAGGAGGCCUCUCAUUUCUUGCCUCCACACCUAGCCUUGCUGUUCUGUGCGGCGUGCACUCCUCCCUGCUUGCUGGAAUCCGAUUCAGUCUUCAGCACUCAGCCUCAGUGUCCUCCAGGAGCCUCUCACUGUCUCUACAGGCCAGAGCCAGCCUGUCUGCUCUGAACAGUCCUCCUCUCAUUACACGACUGCCUGUCUCCCUAGCAGCAGGACUAGGAAUGCCAAGACAACACGCUGCAUAGAUGGAUUGAAAGAAAACUUACUUGACCAGGGAAAAAGGUCAUCAGCUCUCUCUGGCUCAUGAACUGGCAGAGGACCUCACCCCAAAUACCUGGAAGCGCAUGGGCCCCUGAGCUCCAGGAGGCACAACCCCCACCAGAAGGACCUCAGCCAGCUUGCCAGAGCCCCAGGAUCUCUGCUGCCUCUGUUGUGAGAGCCUGCUCAACACCUCGAGCUGCACUUUGGCCCUGAACAGGGUGGCAUGGUGACCACUGGCUGCAGGCUGUUACAAAUAAUGAAGCACUGGUCCGGGGAGCCAGUUGCCCACCAGAACAGCCCAGGAAUGAACUGUGUGCUGUAUUAACGCCUGAGAAAGAUUGCUACAGCCCAAUUAAAAGGGGAUUGUGUGCCUGCGUGCGUGCGUGCGUGUGUGUGUAAAGGGACUGGAGGGAGUGGAAAGUAGAAUAUAAAUAAGAAUCAAGUAAAACUGAUCCCUGGAGACAGAUUAUAGACCACAAACAAACAGCUUGCCUAAAUGAUAGCUGCUUGAGUGAUGCUGGAGAUUGCAGCCGUGUUGCCAAAUGGCCCCAAACAGAAGGGAAGCUGGUUUGUCCCUGUUUGUCCUAUGGGGUGAUGCCUAUAAAUAAAUAAAUUCUGUAA